rnacentral:rRNA from 1 species
GACGAACGCUGGCGGCGUGCUUAACACAUGCAAGUCGAACGGAAAGGCCCCUUUGGGGGUACUCGAGUGGCGAACGGGUGAGUAACACGUGAGUAACCUGCCCUUGACUUCGGGAUAACUUCAGGAAACUGGGGCUAAUACCGGAUAGGAAUCCUUGCUGCAUGGUGGGGGUUGGAAAGCUUCGGCGGUUUUGGAUGGACUCGCGGCUUAUCAGCUUGUUGGUGUGGUAGUGGCUUACCAAGGCUUUGACGGGUAGCCGGCCUGAGAGGGCGACCGGCCACAUUGGGACUGAGAUGCGGCCCAGACUCCUACGGGAGGCAGAAGUGGGGAAUAUUGCACAAGGGGCGGAAGCCUGAUGCAGAAACGCCGCGUGCGGGAUGACGGCCUUCGGGUUGUAAACCGCUUUCAGCAGGGGCGAAGCUUGUGGUGACGGUACCUGCAGAAGAAGCACCGGCUAACUACGUG